rnacentral:rRNA from 1 species
UACAGAGGUCUCAAGCGUUGUUCGGAUUCAUUGGGCGUAAAGGGUGCGUAGGCGGCGCGGUAAGUCGGGUGUGAAAUCUCGGAGCUUAACUCCGAAACUGCAUUCGAUACUGCCGUGCUUGAGGACUGGAGAGGAGACUGGAAUUUACGGUGUAGCGGUGAAAUGCGUAGAUAUCGUAAGGAAGACCAGUGGCGAGGGCGGGUCUCUGGACAGUUCCUGACGCUGAGGCACGAAGGCCAGGGGAGCAAACGGG